UCCCUGGCGGUCCAGUGGUUAGGACUCGGGACUUUCACUGCCGAGGCCCUGGUUCGAUCCCUGGUCAAGGAA